ACGCUGAAGUUUUAGUUAAGGUUGUGUCUGUGGUGGAGGUGUUGCCUGGGACUCCGCGCCAUGGUCUUGGGAAAAACAGUGAUUGGUGUUUAGUGCCAUGGAACAAACAAACAAUUUCAGCACACCGGCGCGGAAAGGCUCGUCAUGUGUAUUGUGCCAAGAGACGCCAACAACAUGCACGAAUAACUGUGUUUGGAGAAAUUCUUACACAGGCUGAUUUUUUUUUUUUUUCCAUUCUGCGUGAGGCAAGACAGCUGAAGGAGUGAACAGCUGUACCAGUGACAGCAGCAAAGCCCCACCACUGCUGAACACUUUUACUACUACUGCUGUUGUUCCCCUCUUCCUCCCAGCACAGCAGACUCUGAGAUCUUGUGCUUGGCUACCACCAGCAGCUCCACAUCAUCAACCAGCUAGCUGGAGGGACUGAGGAGGCAGUGCUCCUUAACAGUGCUGCAGCUGUGGUGUCCAGCUGUGGGAGGCUGAUGGUGAUGGUGCUGGGGCCUGCCUGUGCUGUGGCUGUGUGCUGUGCAUCUCCCUGGGGUGUACGCUCACUUCUGAAAGAUGAUGGUGGAUGGUGACAGAUAGCAUGGCUGCCACUGUGCUCUGGUUGGCUGCCAGGAGGGGCAAGCUGGCCACCCUCUCCAUUACCACCUGUUAGGGAAAGAGCACCAUUAUCAUCUUUGUUUUCCUUCUUUUUCCUUUUCUUUUGCUUCACAGUUUACAAGGAAUGGUCACAGAGUUUUUGUUCUUAUACUUGGCUGUUUAUUAAAUGACGUGUUUAUGGUGUUUUUCUUUUUUCUGUUAGUCAUUGUUGUUUGUGUGUGUGACUGAUGAAUAAAGGAAGUGGAGAGUUA